rnacentral:rRNA from 1 species
AUUGAACGCUGGCGGCAGGCUUAACACAUGCAAGUCGAGCGGAGCGAGGGUGCUUGCACCUUAGCUUAGCGGCGGACGGGUGAGUAAUGCUUAGGAAUCUGCCUAUUAGUGAGGGACAACAUUCCGAAAGGAAUGCUAAUACCGCAUACGCCCUACGGGGGAAAGCAGGGGAUCUUCGGACCUUGCGCUAAUAGAUGAGCCUAAGUCGGAUUAGCUAGUUGGUGGGGUAAAGGCCUACCAAGGCGACGAUCUGUAGCGGGUCUGAGAGGAUGAUCCGCCACACGGGGACUGAAACACGGCCCAGACUCCUACGGGAGGCAGCAGUGGGGAAUAUUGGACAAUGGGCGGAAGCCUGAUCCAGCCAUGCCGCGUGUGUGAAGAAGGCCUUUUGGUUGUAAAGCACUUUAAGCGAGGAGGAGGCUACUCUAGUUAAUACCUAGAGAUAGUGGACGUUACUCGCAGAAUAAGCACCGGCUAACUCUGUGCCAGCCGCCGCCGUAACAC